UUUUUAGUAUAAGUACGUUCCAUGUAAUAUUUGGGACAUACUUUUACUAAAA
rfam:Loxodonta africana unplaced genomic scaffold scaffold_0, whole genome shotgun sequence.